UCUGGUAAUGAUGGCAGAGAGGUCACACCCGUUCCCAUACCGAACACGGAAGUUAAGCUCUCUAGCGCCGAUGGUAGUUGGGACCUUGUCCCUGUGAGAGUAGGACGUUGCCAGGCUAA
rnacentral:rRNA from 3 species